rnacentral:tRNA from 1 species
GGGGAUGUAGCUCAGUGGCACAGUGCCUGCCUGGCAGGCGCGGGGCCCUGAGUUCCAUUCCCAGUACCCCCC